rnacentral:rRNA from 1 species
GGUUAAGUUAGAAAGGGCGUACGGUGAAUGCCUUGGCACUAGGAGCCGAUGAAGGACGGGACUAACACCGAUAUGCUUCGGGGAGCUGUAAGUGAGCUUUGAUCCGGAGAUUUCCGAAUGGGGAAACCCACUGUUCGUAAUGGAACAGUAUCUUUAUCUGAAUACAUAGGAUAUUGAAGGCAGACCCGGGGAACUGAAACAUCUAAGUACCCGGAGGAAGAGAAAGCAAAUGCGAUUUCCUGAGUAGCGGCGAGCGAAACGGAAUUAGCCCAAACCAAGAGGCUUGCCUCUUGGGGUUGUAGGACACUCUAUACGGAGUUACAAAGGAACGAAGUAAAUGAAGCGACCUGGAAAGGUCCGUCGAAGAAGGUAACAACCCUGUAGUUGAAACUUCGUUCCCUCUUGAGUGGAUCCUGAGUACGGCGGAACACGUGAAAUUCCGUCGGAAGCUGGGAGGACCAUCUCCCAAGGCUAAAUACUACCUAGUGACCGAUAGUGAACCAGUACCGUGAGGGAAAGGUGAAAAGCACCCCGGAAGGGGAGUGAAAGAGAUCCUGAAACCGUGUGCCUACAAGUAGUCAGAGCCCGUUAACGGGUGAUGGCGUGCCUUUUGUAGAAUGAACCGGCGAGUUACGAUCCCAUGCAAGGUUAAGCUGAUAAGGCGGAGCCGUAGCGAAAGCGAGUCUGAAUAGGGCGUUUAGUAUGUGGUUGUAGACCCGAAACCAGGUGAUCUACCCAUGUCCAGGGUGAAGUUCAGGUAACACUGAAUGGAGGCCCGAACCCACGCACGUUGAAAAGUGCGGGGAUGAGGUGUGGGUAGCGGAGAAAUUCCAAUCGAACCUGGAGAUAGCUGGUUCUCUCCGAAAUAGCUUUAGGGCUAGCCUCAUGUUGUGAGAGUCUUGGAGGUAGAGCACUGAUUGGACUAGGGGCCCCCAACGGGUUACCGAAUUCAGUCAAACUCCGAAUGCCAAAGACUUAUCCAUGGGAGUCAGACUGCGAGUGAUAAGAUCCGUAGUCAAAAGGGAAACAGCCCAGACCACCAGCUAAGGUCCCCAAGUAUACGUUAAGUGGAAAAGGAUGUGGAGUUGCUUAGACAACCAGGAUGUUGGCUUAGAAGCAGCCACCAUUUAAAGAGUGCGUAAUAGCUCACUGGUCGAGUGACUCUGCGCCGAAAAUGUACCGGGGCUAAACGUAUCACCGAAGCUGUGGAUUGACAUCUUUGAUGUCAGUGGUAGGAGAGCGUUCUAAGUGCUGUGAAGUCAGACCGUAAGGACUGGUGGAGCGCUUAGAAGUGAGAAUGCCGGUAUGAGUAGCGAAAGACAAGUGAGAAUCUUGUCCACCGAAUGCCUAAGGUUUCCUGAGGAAGGCUCGUCCGCUCAGGGUUAGUCGGGACCUAAGCCGAGGCUGAAAAGCGUAGGCGAUGGCCAACAGGUUGAUAUUCCUGUACCACCUCCCCGCCGUUUGAGUAAUGGGGGGACGCAGUAGGAUAGGGUAAGCGCGCUGCUGGAUAUGCGCGUUCAAGCAGUUAGGCUGAUGAGUAGGCAAAUCCGCUCAUCAUAAAGGCUGAGCUGUGAUGACGAGGGAAUUAUAGUACCGAAGUUCCUGAUUCCACACUGCCAAGAAAAGCCUCUAGCGAGGCGGGAGGUGCCCGUACCGCAAACCGACACAGGUAGGCGAGGAGAGAAUCCUAAGGUGAUCGAGAGAACUCUCGUUAAGGAACUCGGCAAAAUGACCCCGUAACUUCGGGAGAAGGGGUGCUCUGGUAGGGUGUAUAGCCCGAGAGAGCCGCAGUGAAUAGGCCCAGGCGACUGUUUAGCAAAAACACAGGUCUCUGCGAAGCCGCAAGGCGAAGUAUAGGGGCUGACGCCUGCCCGGUGCUGGAAGGUUAAGAGGAGGGGUUAUCCUUUGGGAGAAGCUCUGAAUCGAAGCCCCAGUAAACGGCGGCCGUAACUAUAACGGUCCUAAGGUAGCGAAAUUCCUUGUCGGGUAAGUUCCGACCCGCACGAAAGGCGUAACGAUCUGGGCACUGUCUCAACGAGAGACUCGGUGAAAUUAUAGUACCUGUGAAGAUGCAGGUUACCCGCGACAGGACGGAAAGACCCCGUGGAGCUUUACUGUAGCCUGAUAUUGAAUUUUGGUACAGCUUGUACAGGAUAGGUAGGAGCCUGAGAAGCCGGAGCGCUAGCUUCGGUGGAGGCGUCGGUGGGAUACUACCCUGGCUGUAUUGAAAUUCUAACCCGCGGCCCUGAUCGGGCCGGGAGACAGUGUCAGGUGGGCAGUUUGACUGGGGCGGUCGCCUCCUAAAAUGUAACGGAGGCGCCCAAAGGUUCCCUCAGAAUGGUUGGAAAUCAUUCGUAGAGUGUAAAGGCACAAGGGAGCUUGACUGCGAGACCUACAAGUCGAGCAGGGACGAAAGUCGGGCUUAGUGAUCCGGUGGUUCCGCAUGGAAGGGCCAUCGCUCAACGGAUAAAAGCUACCCCGGGGAUAACAGGCUUAUCUCCCCCAAGAGUCCACAUCGACGGGGAGGUUUGGCACCUCGAUGUCGGCUCAUCGCAUCCUGGGGCUGUAGUCGGUCCCAAGGGUUGGGCUGUUCGCCCAUUAAAGCGGUACGCGAGCUGGGUUCAGAACGUCGUGAGACAGUUCGGUCCCUAUCCGUCGUGGGCGUAGGAAAUUUGAGAGGAGCUGUCCUUAGUACGAGAGGACCGGGAUGGACACACCGCUGGUGUACCAGUUGUCUUGCCAAAGGCAUCGCUGGGUAGCUAUGUGUGGACGGGAUAAGUGCUGAAAGCAUCUAAGCAUGAAGCCCCCCUCAAGAUGAGAUUUCCCAUAGCGCAAGCUAGUAAGAUCCCUGAAAGAUGAUCAGGUUGAUAGGUCAGAGGUGGAAGCGUGGCGACAUGUGUAGCUGACUGAUACUAAUCGAUCGAGGACUUAACCAA